CGCCUAAUACAUGCAAGUCGAACGAAGUAGCAAUACUUAGUGGCAGACGGGUGAGUAACAUGUAGGUAUCUUCCCUAUGGUGAGGAAUAACACGAGGAAACUUGUGCUAAUACCUCAUAAGUCUUUACGGAGAAAGCUUUAUGCGCCAUUGGAUGAGCCUGCACUUGAUUAGUUUGUUGGUGGGGUAAUGGCCUACCAAGACUAUGAUCAAUAGCUGAUUUGAGAGGAUGAUCAGCCACAUUGGGACUGAGACACGGCCCAAACUCCUACGGGAGGCAGCAGUAGGGAAUCUUGCACAAUGGGGGAAACCCUGAUGCAGCGAUGCCGCGUGAGUGAAGAAGGCCUUUGGGUUGUAAAGCUCUUUCGUCGGGGAAGAAAAUGACUGUACCCGAAUAAGAAGGUCCGGCUAACUUCGUGCCAGCAGCCGCGGUAAUACGAAGGGACCUAGCGUAGUUCGGAAUUACUGGGCUUAAAGAGUUCGUAGGUGGUUAAAAAAGUUGGUGGUGAAAUCCCAGAGCUUAACUCUGGAACUGCCAUCAAAACUUUUUAGCUAGAGUAUGAUAGAGGAAAGCAGAAUUUCUAGUGUAGAGGUGAAAUUCGUAGAUAUUAGAAAGAAUACCAAUUGCGAAGGCAGCUUUCUGGAUCAUUACUGACGCUGAGGAACGAAAGCAUGGGUAGCGAAGAGGAUUAGAUACCCUCGUAGUCCAUGCCGUAAACGAUGUGUGUUAGACGUUGGAAAUUUAUUUUCAGUGUCGCAGCGAAAGCAAUAAACACACCGCCUGGGGAGUACGACCGCAAGGUUAAAAC
rnacentral:rRNA from 1 species